rnacentral:rRNA from 1 species
UACAGAGGCCCCAAGCGUUACUGAGAAUCACUGGGUUUAAAGGGUGCGUAGGUGGCGCGUUAAGUCCGUGGUGAAAUCUCCGGGCUCAACCUGGAAACUGCCAUUGAUACUAUUAGUCUUGAAUUUUGUUGAGGUAGGCGGAAUAAGUCAUGUAGCGGUGAAAUGCAUAGAUAUGACUUAGAACACCAAUUGCGAAGGCAGCUUGCUAAACAAAUAUUGACGCUGAGGCACGAAAGCGUGGGGAUCAAACAGG